GACGAACCGUGCGAAUGUUAUUCGGAAUCACUGGGCUUAAAGCGCGUGUAGGCGGAAGGGCACGUCUGUCGCUGAAAUCCCCCGGCUCAACCGGGGAACGGGCGCGGAUACGACUCUUCUGGAGGAACGUAGGGGGACCUGGAACUUCCGGUGGAGCGGUGAAAUGCGUUGAGAUCGGAAGGAACGCCCGUGGCGAAGGCGAGUCUCUAGACAUUUCCUGACGCUGAGGCACGAAAGCCAGGGGAGCAAACGGG
rnacentral:rRNA from 1 species